rnacentral:rRNA from 1 species
CUUGCCUAGUCCGCCUAUAUACCGCCGUCGCCAGCUUACUCUGUGAAGAGUCUGUAGUAAGCACAAUCGGUACUACCCAAAACGUCAGGUCGAGGUGUAGCGUAUGGAAAGGGAAGAAAUGGGCUACAUUCAAUAAUAAUAAUGAAUACGAACAUUAUCUUGAAACAGAUAAUUGAAGGAGGAUUUAGUAGUAAGCAGGGAAUAGAGCGCCCUGCUGAAACCGGCCCUGAAGCGCGCACACACCGCCCGUCACUCUCCCCAAGCUAAGACAAACUAAUUACUAAUAAAUAACAACUGUAAAGGGGAGGCAAGUCGUAACAUGGUAAGCGUACCGGAAGGUGCGCUUGGAAAAAC